rnacentral:lncRNA from 1 species
GCAUGAGGCAAGCCAAUUAUGCCCAGCACUCAUAAACAAGUCGGGGGAUGGAAAUCGUGUUUGCACACAGGCCUGAAGGCAGACACAAUACGUGUGUCUGUGUGUGUGUGUGUGUGUGUGUGUGGGGCCAGCGUAUGGGUGGGUGGGGAUUUCCUCUCUCCGUGCAAAUUGCGUGCCCCCUGACUGGUCUUGCCCCAGCCCUGGCCAGCAGCUGCUACCGAAAAGGGAUGAAUCAUCUUGGGUCUCUCUCUCCCUCCCUGACUGAAGCGACAGGCUCAGGGGGAAAGAAGUGAGAGGAAGGCUGGAGCAGAGGAAGCGAGAACCCUCCAGAGAUGCGGAGCUGGACAGUUUUGCAGCUGUGCUGGUACCUGGAGCCUGGGCAGGCUGGGAGUCCUGCUUAACCCCACAGCCUGCAUGCUGGCACCAAGUGGGGGUCAAACCUAGGGCCUUCUGCUCCCAGGACAUAAGUCCCCCUCACUAUUCGGAUCUGCUGGAAGAACCAGAAUCCCAGCAGAAGUGCUGAGUCAUGUGGGGGAGUUUGCUGGCAUAACUUCUCCCCACCUGCACCCAAGGCAUUGUUGAGAAAAGAAAGUCUGCUGCCACCUAAGAGACCCAGAAUCAGAACAACGGUGUGAUCUGAACAAGAUGAAGGGGUGGUUUCAUGAUAAGAAUAAACUACAAGCUUCUUCUGCUCCUUCUAGAGAUGCUCAAGAAGACUAUGGGAUAAAGCCACUUAUCUCAACUGAUAAAGGUAUAGAGCUGAGGAUGCCUGAUCUUUGCUUACUGCUCCCCUGGCCCCAUCCUAAAGAAGGGCCCCACCAGUGAACUUAUGGACCCAUGGAACCAUUCCCACUGAGCAAGAAAUAUGGUAAGAUGGCAGCUGCCUUGCAUGGUGUCCUGUCUCACAUUCCUCUUCCCUUACAGAGUUCCCAUGUGGCCAAGGGCCCCAGUUGUGGCAAGUUGGAGAGAUAGACCAACUGCACAGCUAGGAACAAACCUAUCCCUUCAUCUAUAAUGGGCAAUUUCUGUAGUGGAGGGAGGCUUGGGAACAGAACUAUCAUCUAAAAUUCUCACUUUUCCUGAGAUACAUACAAACUAAAGCCUUUGGUGAGGGCUUGUCUCAAGCCUGUCUCAUCCAACUCUCUAACAGAGGCUAAUCCAAUCAGUCUGGUGGGUUUCAAUGGGUACUAGUGCCCCAAGUUUCACAAAUAUGUGCUAGUCAUCGCCACUCCCACAGUGGGUUUCAAUGGCUACUACUGUCCCCAGUUUCAUGAAUAUCUGUCAGUCAUCACCAUUCCCACAGUGGGUUUCAAUGGCCACUACUGCCUGGAGUUCUGUGUGUAUGUGCCAGUCAUCAUCUCUUCCAAAUUGCUUAACUCUCUAAUGGUUUUUGCAUCCUUAGAAUAAUUUCUGAGCUCCUUACUUGGGAAUCAAGGCUGUGCCUGAUCAGACAUACUUUUCUUGCUCUCCAAUCUUAUCUCAUGCCCUGCACCCCCUCAUUUACUAUGAAGAAUCCACACUGGCUUUCCCCAUUCCCUGAACCCACCAAACGUAUGCUUACCUCAGGGCCUUUGCACUUGCUUUUUGUAUCACCUGGAACCCUGCUUGCCUAGAUGUUUUCACAAUUGACUCUUUCUUGCCAUUCAAUUCUCAGCUGAAAUGCCACCUCCUCAAAGAGGCCUUCUGUGACCAUCCUAUCUAACGUUGCCUCCUUUGCACACCCACCCCUGCCUGUCACAUCUGAGCACUGUCUGAAAUGGCUUGUUUACUUAUUUAUCUUUCCUCUCAUUUUGCUAGAGACUGAAAGUGGACUCCAAGAUGUCAUGGCUCUUAUACUCUGUUGUGUCUACAGAACCUGAGACUGUGUCUAGCACUCAGAAAACACUGUAUCCAUUCAUUUAAUCAUGAAUUCAUCAUCUAUUGACAUCUCCCCGAGUGCCAGGUCCCUAUACUUCUCAUGCAUUAUCUCAUAUAACUGUAUGUUCUUGUGGAAGCAUAGUCACACUUGGGGGCAACAUAUUCAGUCUUUCUGUCCCAUAGGAUGAUGCUCUUUUAUGCAGUGCAACCAUAUGCUAUUACAAGGAGCAUUUGGUCCUCAAGAAUCAACACUCUUUCCAAAGUAUCCAUGUUUAUUCCUUCCAGGCAAUGAAUCAUCACAGCAAGAAAAAAAAAAAGGGGGCAGGGGGGCCAGCUAGAUCAUUUACCAAGGGAAUACUGUCUGGAUAAUGAUGUUCAAAUCAUGUGCUGCUUGGUGGGAACGAGAAGACACUGGCUCCUUCACAGGCAACCCUGGCCAAGAUGCAGACACAAAUAAGGAGUUUCAGCAUGGUUUGCCCUGCACUGAGAUGUUUUCUCUCCCGCAGAAGGUUAUGUUGAUGAGUGUGUACAAAGUGCAGGGUCAAGCCUGCUCUGACAAGAGGCAAUGGCUUUGGAAGCCAUUUAAUGGAGGCAUAUUUAGGAGUGGAGUUUCUUCCUCUUCUGUUCUUGCUCUCCCUUCUUAGAGUGCCUUUUAGACUGAACUUCUCCAGCUACUGCUCAUCAUGGUGAGAGCCAGGUGUAGAAAGGUUACCUUAUCACCAUCAACGCAAUAUUCCCUUUCAUUUUUGCCUCCUGGAGGCUGAAAAAUGGCCUAGAUUCCAAGAAAGUGAAAAAAAGAGGUGUGGAGGAGGGCCUUUAGCUUUUCUCAAUAGCGUUUCCUUGGGGUCCUUUCCAGGCAAGCAUGACCCUCUCUCAUUUUCUAGAUGAGAAAUCCCAGGGAUGAGCACUUAAAUGGUAUUUCUAAAUCAGAGUCAGGGCCUGCGUUUCAGAUGGAACCCACAGACUCUCCUGAGAGGCUCUGGAUGGGGCGGAUUUGGCAUGCAAAAAGUAGGCUCCUGGCCUGGCUCUGCCCUCACCAACUGGGUGAACCUGGGCAAAUCAUUUCCAGCCUGGACUGAUACCUGGACUGGUAGCAUCAGCAUCACCAGGGAGCUUGUCAAAAAUGCAAUGUUCUGCCCUCCUCUUGUCUUUCUGGAUCAGCUCAGGGGCUGCACCAAGCCCUCUAGGUGAGUGUGGGCCUGCUCAGGGUUGAGGUCCACUGCCCCACUGGAAGGGACAGGGGCCACUCAGCCCCAAGCUAGAUAGCCAGGUGGACAUCUGGGCCCAGGACUAGCAGAUCUUCCCCUUCUUCCAAAGAAGCUAGUGGUCCAGAUUAUUUUAAGAAAUGAGAUUUUAAAAUAUUGGUAACAAAGUCAAGACACCGUGUUGCCAAAAACAACAGAAGGAGUCUGUGGGCUGCCUUGGGUACCACGUCCUACAUUUGGGCUCCAUUCUGAUUUUGGUUUCAAGAGAUCAUAAGAGCUGGUCUAUAUCCCUAAAUAAGGAAUCCUCUUACCUCCUUAUGACCUGGGGUUAGGUCUUGGGACAAGCAACAGGGUCUUUCUGACCUCUCCUUUGGCCCCUGCAGCCUACCAGCCCUCUCAGUUGUGUUCACAUCAUGUAGCCUCUGCAGGAUUCUAAGCUCCUUGGGGACAGAGAGGGUCUUGCCAUGGCAAUUUGCUGCACAGCAUCUACCUCAGAUGUGAACACAUUUGUGGCUACACUUAAUGAAUGAAUUGAAUCAUCCCUCGCCAAUCUCCAGCACCGAAAUCACAAUUUGAAGCUUGGUAGGAAUUUUCAUGGGACUCAUCAUUCAGAUACUAUGGAUCCUGCAAUCAUCACCAGGCAAAUAUUUCCCAAGCAUAUCCUCUGUGCAGGCACCAAGCUCUGGGCUGGGAAAGAAAUGUGGACCUGAUGUGCUCCGGCCUCCAGGGGGCGUGGAUUUUAAGCCGGUGGUUUUCAAUCCCCUCCAACCCAGGGUUGGUGCACACUCUCAGCAAAAUAGUUUUCAGCAUGCAUCUCCAAUAUAUGUACAGUUUAAAACUGAUAAAUAAUAUGCAUAUGUACUGCUAUUUCAUUCUCUUUGUAAAUCUUUAAAUAAAAAUUAGGAAAUUUAAGGCCAGCUACGGUGGCUCACACCUGUAAUCCUAGCACUCUGGGAGCCCAAGGUGGGUGAAUAACUUGGGGUUAGGAGUACUAGACUGCCCUGGCCAACAUGGUGAAGCCCCAUUUCUACUAAAAACACAAAACAAAAAUUAGCCAGGCAUGGUGGCGUACACCUGUAAACAGCCCAGCUAGUGGGGAGGCUGAGGCAGGAGAACUGCUUGAACCCGGAAGGUGGAGAUUACAGAGAGCCGAGAUUGCAC